GGUGAAUAUGUUAAUAUCAGUUACGAGUUUUGGUUUGGGUAUCUGUUGUAGUCAUUCAGCUUAAAUACUUGAAAAAACAACAUCAGAAGAACUAUGGAAGAGAAAAUUAAGGCUGCCCUGAAUACAAGCAAAUUAGAAAGAACAGGCAGUGGUGGUGGUGGUUGCAUCAAUGAAGGGGAAUGUUAUAUGA